rnacentral:rRNA from 1 species
UACCACCGGCGAAUCGCUCAGUAACACGUCGUUAACCUGCCUUUUGGUCUGGGAUAGCCUUGGGAAACUGAGGGUAAAACCGGAUAGGGGAGUUCUUCUGGUCGAUUUCUCCUUUAAAAGUAAUGCCAAAAGAUGGGACGGCGGCGGAUUAGGUUGUUGGUGAGGUAAUGGCUCACCAAGCCCAAGAUCCGUACGGGCCUUGAGAGAGGUAGCCCGGAGAAGGACACUGAGAUACUGGUCCUAGCCCCACGGGGUGCAGCAGCCGCGAAACCUUUACAAUGCACGAAAGUGUGAUAAGGGAAUCCUGAGUGCUCAUGCAAUGCAUGGGCUUUUGCCAAGAGUAAAAACCUUGGAGAAUAAGUGGUGGGUAAGACUGGUGCCAGCCGCCGCGGUAACACCAGCGCCACGAGUGGGAGCCACGUUUAUUGGGCCUAAAGCGUCCGUAGCCUGUUCUGUAAUCCUUUGUGAAAUCGACAAGCUCAACUUGCCGGCAUGCUUGGGACACUGCAGAACUUGAGACCGGGAGGGGUAUGGAGUAUUCUGGGGGGAGCGGUAAAAUGCUAUAAUCCCUAGAAGACUACCUGUGGCGAAGGCGCCAUACCAGAACGGAUCUGACGGUGAGGGACGAAGGCUAGGGGAGCGAUCCGGAUUAGAUACCCGAGUAGUCCUAGCAGUAAACUCUGUCAGCUAGGUGUUGCAUAUUCUACGCGAAUAUGCAGUGUCGUAGUGAAGAUGAUAAGCUGACCGCCUGGGAAGUAUGGUCGCAAGACUGAAACUUAAAGGAAUUGGCGGGGGAGCACUACAAGGGGUGCGGCGUGCGGUUUAAUCCAAUUCAACACGGAAAAUCUCACCAGAGGCGACGGCAGGAUGAAGGUCAGGUUGAAGACUUUACCAGACAAGCCGAGAGGUAGUGCAUGGCCGCCGUCAGCUCGUGCCGUAAGGUGUCCUGUUAAGUCAGGCAACGAGCGAGACCUGUGCCCAUAAUUGCCAGCAACUCUAUAGGAGGUUUGGGCACAUUAUGGGAACUGCCCUGGAAACAGGGAGGAAGGUGCAGGCUACGGUAGGUCUGUAUGCUCCGAAUCUUCUGGGCUACACGCGCGCAACAAUGGUAAGGACAAAGGGAUACAACUCCGUAAGGAGAAGUUAAACCUCUAAACCUUAUCUUAGUACAGAUUGAGGGCUGUAACUCGCCCUCAUGACGCUGGAAUCCCUAGUAAUCGGAAGUCAUCAUCUUCCGGUGAAUGUGUCCCUGCUCCUUGCACACACCGCCCGUCAAACCACUCGAGCAGGGUUUAGGUGAGCCUUAACUUUCUUGGUUAAGUCGAAUCUAAGCUCAGUGAGAUGGGUUAAGUCGUCACAAGGUA